rnacentral:lncRNA from 1 species
UAGGUAAAAGAGAAAGAUUAUAAUGUAUAUUCAUUCAUUUAAUUCAUAAUCGUUCCUGUGGAUUUGAGAGUGGUUAUGUGGGCAGUCACUCAGGAACAAAGGACAAGAGGAUUGUAGGCCCCAAACUACAAUUUCAAUAACACCAUUAAAAUCUUGGGCAACAAAGAUAAUAUGUAAUUACCUGAUAAAUUUGAAAGAUAUGAUGAACAAAAAAAAAGAUCGUCUUGAGCCAGAAUACACACGUGUCCUUCCAGUGUGGAGAUUACUGUGAACUUGCAAACCAGCUUUCGUGCAGAAGGGGGCGGGAGAAUAGGUGGAAAAGAAUAUUGUCAAAUAAUUUUGAAAUUUAUCUCCUAACAUUUUCUGACCAUCUAUUAUUGAGAAAGGAAAUAGUUUUUUAAAGCAAUGGCAUGAUUGUACAGUAAACCCUGAAGUGAAAUAUACUCAAAAAAUGUAUUUGUCAAGCAAUCACAUUUUGAUAACUUACAGACAUUUGCAAUUUAUCUUUCUUUUUUCCUCAAAUGGGGAAGAACAAAGUUAAUUUAAGU